UCUGUAAUAGAAGAUAACUCUGCCAAAAUCUAUUAAGUUUCAUACAAUUAAAUUUAUGUUUAAAGACUCAAAAUCCGGUCAUUCAUCUAUCUAUAUUCUAUAUAUAUAAAAAUUGAGAACAAUCACCAAUUUCACCAAUGAUUAUAACUCCAAAACGGAUGAGCCGAUUUCAACGAUUUCAAAAGAAAAGCGGAAACCCGUUUUUUACAUGCAGCGCCAUUUCUAAAACUCUCUGUUCAUUUCGUUUUAUUUUAUUCAUGAGACAAACUUUAUUUGGUUCAAAAAUAAAUUUUAACAGCAGGCAUUUGUUUUUGAGGUGGUAAGUUGAACUGUGUUAAUUAUGUGUAUCGUGCAUUUGAGGUUAAACUCACCACUUCCACCUUCUUCGACUUCCUCAUACUCCUUUUUCUUCAUCAAUUAGAAGAUAGACGAGCCGAACGCAAUAAUGUAAGAAGGCUAAAGCAUCAACAAUCACGCAGGUUUUCAGAAGAAGGAGGAGGAGGAAGACGAAGAAGAAGAAAAAGGUAGAGGAAGGAGAAAGAGGAUGAAGAAGAAAAAAAGGAUGAAGAAGAAAAAAAGGAUGAAGAAGAAAAAGGAAGAGGAGGAAGACGGAGAAGGAGAAAGAAGAAGAUUCUGGGUCAGAUUUACCACCGCGCUGGCUCAUUAUUACCAUUUCCUAAUACCGACCAUCAAUUCUAACAAAUCUAUUUCGUUGGAAAUGAAAAUCGCGAAUUGGAUCGGCGAUGUACAAUUGCUUCGAGGGCAAGGCGACAAAUUGUUUCUGAGCUUCAAACAUUUUUUCUUCAACACAAUGAAUUAGUUCGAUUAUUUAAAAUCGCUCUCGUUCGUAUGCCAUCGGAUAACCACGAAAUCAUCAUAAAAGCCGAUAGAACACCCAUCGGAGAGCAUGCAAGACGAUUUAAUGCACCGACAAUCGAUGAUGUGGCUAUUGUAAUUGUUGGGGACCAGUUCCAAUCUCGCGACAUCGUGCUACAUCGAAGAAAUUACAGCGUGUUUCAGAGCUUCACCGCAGCUAUGAUGCAUUACAAUAUCCAUUAUUGUACUGGAAAGGUGAUACCGUCUAUAAUAUCAAUAUACCAAUGAUACAUCCACAAACCGUGGGCCUCGUGGUGUAGUGGAUAGCGCAACUACCUGCUAAAAAACGGGGGCACCCACAUAGUACCAAGCCCACCCUGUGUUUAUCUGCGAACAGCAACAACACCCAGCAGGGCGAGCGCGUUACCAGACUGUUCGCUUUUCUACGAAGAAAAACACAACACCGUAGACGCCAAUCCCCGAUGGCGACAGGUGGCAGCCCCACCACUGGGAUAAGCCGCAUCUGGCCAAUCACCAGAUCGGUCGAAAAACUUUCAACGAUUACUGAAACUAAUACGAGAAAUUCAGCUCUCGUAGAAGCCCUAAGUACCCGAGAGGAAUAGAGGAAUAAAUUCAAUAUGAAUUCAUUUUAACCCAAGAAGACAUUUUCAUUUUUUGAUAAUGCAUUCAUUACAGGUCGUGACAUUCAAAAAAAAGUUAGUGCGAUGAACUAUUAUUCGUACAGAUUCAUGAUUCGCCAACAAGAAGACAAUUUCAUUUUGAGAUGUGGUGGCAAACUUUUCAAUCAAUACGCUGUUGACAUGUACGCAAAAAUAGAAACAGAACGUCUGAAUUACCUUUGAUUCAAUCAAGCAAAUUUACGAUCGGAAGAAUAUAUAUAUUUGCGAGAUGCAACAGUGAAUGAUGGUAAUGCAAAUGAUAUCGGACGUUUAACAAUAUUACCAUCCACAUAUGUUUGUCGGCAGUCGGCACCACAUGCAUGAAUACACACAAUGUCAUACGUUCGCAAAUAUGGUCGACCAGACUAACAUUUACAUGCAAUCCACAGUGGGCGUAUAUAAAUGAUAAUUUAUUUGUUGGUCGAAAACCAAUUGAUCGGCACGAUAUAACUACGCGUGUAUUUCAAUAGAAAUUAAAGGCAUUGAUAGAUUUGAUUGUCAAAUUUAAAAUACAGCACGGCACAGCCACCAGCAACAACAUUAACUGCAUUCUUCCAAUUGUGUGAAAGUGAAUUUGCAGGAACAUUGCUGUAUUCGGACGUACCACACUAUUUCAUUUAGACUGCAAAAAAAUGGCAACGACGUAAGAGAGGAGCCCCAGUUGAUGGUCAUCCAGGCGUUUUAUAUGAAGACACUACGGAAAGGUUGUACACAGUUCAUCCAAACAACGCAAAGUGCUUUUUUUGCGACUGUUGUUGGUAAACGUUGUAGGACCACGCUCAUUUCAACAUUUGCGAACAGUUAAUGGUCAUUUCAUGUCAGACAUAUCGCGAAGCAUGUGACCACUUACAUUUGUUGGAAAUGAUGCACAUUGGGCUUUGACACUUAACGAUGCAUCGAUUUUUUCUUCUCCACACCAAAUUCGUAUGCUAUAUGCCAUAAUAUUAUCGACAUGCUUUCCAUCGAAUCCACUUGAUUUGUGGAAUAAAUAUAAAGGAUUAAUGGCCGAAGACUUUUUAAAUCGAAUGCGUCAUCACACCAGAAAUCACGAUUUGCUGAUCUCAUUGAAGAUAUGUGCCUUGCGAUGGCAGAUAAAGCAUUGGGUCAAUUAGGUAUGCCUUCACCGAAUCGUCCAAUUCAUGAUUUGUUUGAUCGAGAAUUGCAACGUGAACAACAGUACAAUAUCAAUGAAUUGUGAAUUGGAAUUUACCCAAAUUGAACGACCAACAAAAACAUUUUUACGAUACCAUUAUGCAAGGAGUACAAAAUGAUGUUGGUGGAUUGUAUUUUUUGGAUGCGCCUGGAGGUACGGGUAAAACAUUUGUGGUAUUAUUGAUUUUGGCAGCCAUUCGGUCACAACAAAAAAUUGCAUUGGCACGUGCUUCGUCAGGAAUUGCUGCUACUUUAUUGGAUGGUGGACGAACAGCACACUCAGCAUUAAAAUUGUCGUUAAAUGUGCAGGUGAUUGACAAUCCCACAUGCAACAUAUCAAGAAAUUCUGCAAUGCCAAAAGUUUUGCAGCAAGCAGCAAUUAUUCUAUUGGAUGAAUGUACAAUGCAAUGAACAAUGCAAGAUCUACGUCGCAAUCAACAAAUUUUUGGUGGUGCACUAAUAUUUUUGUCAAGAGAUUUCCGACAAACAUUGCCCGUCAUUCCACGUGCAACGUUAGCGGAUCAGGUCAAUGCGUGCUUGAAGUAUUAUUUCCUGUGGCUAUAUGUCCAAUGAUCAAUCUGCAGAACGGUUUUCGAAGCAAUAAUUAGAAAUCGAAAGUGGCAAAGUUCCAAAUACAAAUGGCUUGAUCACUUUGCCAAAAAAUUUGUGUACAAUUCUACAAUCUAAAGGCGAAUUAAUAGAAAGCGUUUUUCCAAAUAUAAUUCAAAAUCACAGAAAUCACGAUUGGUUGACAGAACGAGCAAUAUUGUCACCAAAAAAUGUACAUGUCAAUUAAAUCAAUUUUCACAUUCAAGAAAAAAUGCCAGGCACACUGACAUCAUAUAAAUCUUUAAAUAGCGCAAUGAAAGAUGAUGCAGUGAAUUAUCCAGUUGAAUUUUCAAAUUCCCUAGAACCGCCUGGUAUGCCACCGCAUUUUUUGUACUUAAAAAUCGGCUCAUCAAUUAUUUUACUACGGAAUUUAAAUGCACUAAAAUUGUGCAAUGGCAAGAUUGGUUGUAAAAAAAUUGAUGCCGAAUUUAAUUGAAGCCACGAUAUUGACUGGAAUAGCGAAAGGAGGAAUGGUGCUCAUACCGCGUAUUCCGUUGAUACCAACAGACAUGCCGUAUAAAUUUAAGCGACUGCAAUUCCCAGUGCGUCUAUCAUUUGCCACGUCCAUCAAUAAGGCACAAGGACCAACGCUUCAAGUAUGCGGGUUAAAUUUGGAAGAGCCGUGUUUUUCUCAUGGGCAGCUAUGGCAUUCCAAACUCUUUAUUUGUAUUCGCUCCAAAUGGACAAACGAAAAAUAUAGUUAAUCCAAAUGUUUUGGAUUGAAAAUAACAAUUUUCCAAAAAAAUAAAUGACUUUCAUAAAA